CAUUCUGCGGCUGGUCCCAGCCUCCCGUGUACGUCUCGAUGUCACCACUCUUGGGGAUUUACUUUCGCAGUGAUGCAGCCGUGACAGCAACUGGUUUUAAAAUUCAUUACUACCUACAGGACAAGUCUGAAGACGAUCGGCAAGGAUACCAAAGGAUACACCACCUGUCGGGAGAUACUGGCGAGUUCUCCUCCAUGAACUACCCGCACUACCCCUACCGUAACCACGUGUUUCAACGGUGGAACAUCACCGUUGAUGUACACAAAGCUGUCAAACUGACGUUUUUGGUCUUGGAUGUGGAGUACACCGAGGGUUGUGUACAUGACUAUGUAUUAGUCUUUGACUACUACGAGCACUUUUUUUUUCUGUGCCCCCUGUGCCCACCACUUGACCAGCACUAUAACCUCAACUGAACACAGCCUUGAUGUACUUUUCGUCACAGACUUUAAGAUUCGCAAAGCUGGAUUUUUGGCACGCUAUGAAGCAGUGGACAAAAAUCAAGGAAAUUCUCCUCCUGACUUUCUGGCUUCUAGAUCUGAUUGGCUCUUUGUCAGCGACAAGAUCAAACAAAUCAGCAUCAGUGACUCAACUAAUCAGGUUUGGGCUCUCGAUGAAGAUGGCACGCCUCUGCGACGCACAAA